rnacentral:lncRNA from 1 species
UCAAGGUCAUUUGAGGUCAUUUCAAAGGCAUUCAAGGUCAUUUGGGGUCACUUCAAGGUCACAGGGGUUACUUGAGGUCAGUUUGGAUUUUUUUGAGUCUCUGACCGGCCACUUAAGGUCAUUUCAAGGUCACUUGGGGUCACUUCAAGGUCACUCGGGGUCAUUUCAAGGUCAUUUGGGUCACAGGGGUCACUUGAGGUCACUUUUUUAUUUUUCUGAGUCCCUGACCAGGCCACUAGAGGUCGUUUCAAGGUCAUUUCAAAGUCAUUUGGGGUCACUUCAAGGUCACGGGGGUUACUCGGGGUCAUUUUUGGAUUUUUGAGUUUUUCAAGUCCCUGGCCGGGGUAACUGUAGGUCACUUCAAGGUCACUUGGGGUCACUUCAAGGUCACUCGGGGUCAUUUCAAGGUCAUUUGGGUCACAGGGGUCACUUGAGGUCAUUUUUGAUUUUUCUGAGUCCCUGACCAGGUCACUAGAGGUCAUUUCAAGGUCAUUUGAGGUCGCCAG